AGAGUUUGAUCCUGGCUCAGGAUGAACGCUGGCGGCGUGCCUAACACAUGCAAGUCGAACGAAGAGGCCCGCAAGGGCACUUCAGUGGCGGACGGGUGAGUAACACGUAGGUGACCUGCCCCGAAGCAGGGGAUAACGGCUCGAAAGGGCCGCUAAUACCCAAGAGCGUCUGGUGUCGAAACCAGAGGAGAGUUACGGCGUUUCGGGAGGGGCCUGCGGCCCACCAGCUAGUUGGUAGGGUAAAGGCCUACCAAGGCAACGACGGGUAGGGGGCCUGAGAGGGUGAUCCCCCACAUUGGCACUGACACACGGGCCAAACUCCUACGGGAGGCACCAGUGAGGAAUAUUGAGCAAUGGGCGAAAGCCAGACUCAGCAACGCCGCGUGGACGAAGAAGGCCUUCGGGUCGUAAAGUCCUUUUCAGGGGGACGAGAGAGGACGGUACCCCUGGAAUCAGUCACGGCUAACUACGUGCCAGCAGCCGCGGUAAAACGUAGGUGGCGAGCGUUAUCCGGAAUCACUGGGCGUAAAGCGCCUGCAGGCGGUCUAGUAAGUGGGACGUGAAAUCUCCUGGCUCAACUGGGAGGGGACGUUCCAUACUGCGAGACUGGAGGGCAGAAGAGGGAAGGGAAUUCCCGGUGUAGUGGUGAAAUGCGUAGAUAUCGGGAGGAACACCAGUGGCGAAGGCGGCUUCCUGGUCUGUACCUGACGCUAGGAGGCGAAAGCUAGGGGAGCGAACGGGAUUAGAAACCCCGGUAGUCCUAGCCGUAAACGAUGGAUGCUAGGUGUCGGUGGUCCUAACCCCAUCGGUGCCGAAGCUAACGCGUUAAGCAUCCCGCCUGGGGACUACGGCCGCAAGGUUAAAACUCAAAGGAAUUGACGGGGGCCCGCACAAGCAGCGGAGCGUGUGGUUUAAUUCGAUACUACACGAAGAACCUUACCCAGGUUUGACAUGCAGGUGGUAGAGAAGCGAAAGUGGAUCGACCCUUCGGGGAGCCUGCACAGGUGCUGCAUGGCUGUCGUCAGCUCGUGCCGUGAGGUGUUGGGUUAAGUCCCCUAACGAGCGCAACCCUCGCCGUCAGUUACAAGUGUCUGGCGGGACUGCCGACCUCAAGUCGGAGGAAGGUGGGGAUGAUGUCAAGUCAGCAUGGCCUUUAUAUCUGGGGCUACACACACGCUACAAUGGCCGGUACAAUAGGUUGCCAACCCGCGAGGGGGAGCUAAUCCUACAAAGCCGGUCUCAGUUCGGAUUGGAGGCUGCAACCCGCCUCCAUGAAGUCGGAGUUGCUAGUAAACGCAGGUCAGCCAUACUGCGUUGAAUACGUUCCCGGGCCUUGUACACACCGCCCGUCACGUCAUGGGAGCUGGUAACACCUGAAGCCGGUGGGCGAACCGCAAGGGCGCAGCCGUCGAGGGUGGGACUGGUGACUGGGACGAAGUCGUAACAAGGUA
rnacentral:rRNA from 1 species